rnacentral:rRNA from 1 species
AACACAUGCAAGUCGAACGAGACCUUCGCGUCUAGUGGCGCACGGGUGCGUAACGCGUGGGAAUCUACCCUUGGGUUCGGAAUAACAGUUAGAAAUGACUGCUAAUACCGGAUGAUGACGAAAGUCCAAAGAUUUAUCGCCCAAGGAUGAGCCCGCGUAGGAUUAGCUAGUUGGUGAGGUAAAGGCUCACCAAGGCGACGAUCCUUAGCUGGUCUGAGAGAUGAUCAGCCACACUGGACUGAGACACGCCAGACUCUACGGG